GGUGAACGCUAGCGGCAGGCCUAACACAUGCAAGUCGAGGGGUAACAUAGAGAAGCUUGCUUUUCUGAUGACGACCGGCGCACGGGUGCGUAACGCGUAUGCAACCUACCUCUUACUGGAGAAUAGCCCAUAGAAAUGUGGAUUAAUGCUCCAUAGUAUUAUUCUUUCGCAUGUUAGAAUAAUUAAAGGUUACGGUAAGAGAUGGGCAUGCAUCCUAUUAGCUAGAUGGUAAGGUAACGGCUUACCAUGGCAACGAUAGGUAGGGGGCCUGAGAGGGUGAUCCCCCACACUGGUACUGAGACACGGACCAG
rnacentral:rRNA from 1 species